ACGAAAGAGUAACAAUAUGGACUAAUUAUUCAGUUCCACAAAACCGUUUAAUGAAAAAGGUUUAUUCUUCGUAAAUUAUUUUCAGAUCUUAUCUUUAGUUGAUCGCGAAACUCGAGUUUUUUCCAAUGAAAACAACCAUUAAUUUUAUAUUUAAUUUCAAGUCUUUUAAAGAUACAUUCAUGUAUACACACAUAGAUAUGUGAACGUCAUAUGUAUACUAAGUUUCAUGGGUUUCUUAUUCUUGACUCUUCAUCUAGACAAAAAUUGUCCAUAGACAGAAAAACAAAUAAGUCAAGAUAUUCACUCUCCACUAGAUAAAGGCAAUAUAACUUAGAAUCCUAUUCUUCAUCUCUUACUUCCCUUCUAAAUUAAUAGAGUUAGCUUAAGUACAUGUACACUUUCUGUAAAUUGCUUCCUAUCCAUCCAUUCAUUCAUAAUUUCUAGGCCUCAUUUUUCUUUCAUUAUAUCUUCAAACAAACAAAAGAAAAUUACAAUGGCAAGUAGACAACAUAGAUGUAACCAAUGUGGAAUACUACUAAUGGUUCCACAAGAAAGCCAAGCCUUUAAGUGUUCAAUAUGCAAUGGCAUAACCUAUUUUCAAUCCACAGGUCCAUUGAAUCAAGCCUACAAUAGUCUUAAUCAUAUUGCAGGUCUUUUUAGAGGCUUCAUCAAUACUAUAACACCAACUAGUUCUGUAGUUAACAGUAAUUCAGGUAAUUAUGGCUAUUAUCUUCAGCCUCAGUCACUAAGGCCUUCAUACCCUUUGAUUCCUCCUUCUCCGUAUGGCUCGAAACGCGCAGUGUUGUGUGGAGUUUGCUACCAUGGGAGGAGUUACAGGCUUAAGGGCUCCAUCAAUGAUGUAAAAUGUAUGAAGUACUUUCUGAUUAAGGAGUUUGGGUUUCCUAGUGACUCCAUUCUCAUGCUCACAGAUGAUAAGGAGGAGAGAAAUCCACUAAAAAUACCAACAAAAUAUAACAUUCAAAUGGCUUUAAGGUGGCUGAUUGAGGGUAGCAAAUCAGGGGACUCAUUAGUGUUCCAUUACUCAGGACAUGGCACACAGGAAUUGAACAUGAAUGAGAUUGAUGAUAAAUAUGAUAAUGCAAUUUGUCCUGUUGAUCAUGAGCACAAGGGGAAGAUACUGAAUGGUGAGAUUAAUGCAACAAUUGUUAGGCCACUACCAUUUGGUGCUAAACUUCAUGCCAUUAUUGAUGCAUGCCACAGUGGAAAUGUUCUUGAUUUAUCAUUUGUUUGCAAGAUGAACAGGGAAGGAUAUUACAAAUGGGAGAAUCAUACAAGUUCAAGAACUGAUAAAGGCAGAAAAGGAGGAGUAGCAAUUUGUAUUUCUGCUUGUGAUGAUAGUCAAGUCUCUGUAGAUACCUCUACAGGCCUUAAGUGGCAAAGAAGUUACAGGUGCAUUGACUUAUAGUUUCAUACAAACAGUGCAAAAUGAACCUGGAUUGAGUUAUGGUCACUUGCUGAAUACCAUGCGUUCAACCAUUCAUGGCACUAAAACAGGCAUAGUUACUCUAAAUGGCCCAAUUGCUUCCAUCUUAAAUAGAAUUCUUGGCCUCCGCAUCAAGCAGGAGCCACAAUUAUCUUCUUCGGAGAUUUUUGACAUGUAUAAAAAGCAGUUUAUAUUAUGAUAUGGUAUAUUGGUAUAUUUUCAUUCAUCAAAAUUCUGUAGCAUUAAAGAUUCGAAUCAUGGAAUACCCUUUUGACAUGUCUUCUAUUUUCAUGUAAUUGUGCAGCUGAAGUGACACUAAAAUGUGUUUGUUUCAAGGAAUAUCAUUGUAAAGUUAUUCUUGAAAAGUGAACUUAGAAAUAUGGCAUUUCUAUGAUUGGUACAAGUUUUAAAAUAA